AGGACGAACGCUGGCGGCGUGCCUAAUGCAUGCAAGUCGAGCGACGAAUAGGUGCGGGUAACCAAACCUAUUACGGAGCGGCGAACGGGUGAGUAACACGUGAGCAACCUGCCCCGAAGACCGGGAUAGCCCAGGGAAACUUGGAUUAAUACCGGAUAUCCUCCUUUGAUCGCAUGGUCGUUGGAAGAAAUGCUUUUACGCUUCGGGAUGGGCUCGCGGCCUAUCAGCUUGUUGGUGGGGUAACGGCCUACCAAGGCGUCGACGGGUAGCUGGUCUGAGAGGACGAUCAGCCACACUGGGACUGAGACACGGCCCAGACUCCUACGGGAGGCAGCAGUGGGGAAUAUUGGACAAUGGGCGAAAGCCUGAUCCAGCAAUGCCGCGUGAGUGAUGAAGGCCUUAGGGUUGUAAAGCUCUUUUACCCGGGAUGAUAAUGACAGUACCGGGAGAAUAAGCCCCGGCUAACUCCGUGCCAGCAGCCGC
rnacentral:rRNA from 1 species